rnacentral:lncRNA from 1 species
AUCUCAUGAUAUAAAAAUGUAGCAAUUCUAUAUUCUUCUAUAUCCUAAAUAUCUUUUAUCGAAAUUCUCGAAAUUUAAGCUUCCUCAAAAACUUCCAACAUAGAAAUCGAACAUGGAACAAAUUUACCUCGACUCGUGCGACUCCUAAUGCACGUGAAUUUCAAUUCUCGAUAUUCUCAAUUGUACGUUGUUACAUGGACGCAAGGAUCUCGAGCAAAGGUCAUUACACAUAGGCUUAAUCAAGAUGCCUCGUAUCAAUGCCGCUAGGUCAAACGGUUUCGCAAUUCGCGACCCUCCUCCUGGAUGGAAUAAAACCGGGCAUCGUGGCUGUUGCACCCGGUUAAAUCAUAUGAUUCUGCGACCUGGCUCGUUCGAAAGACCGGCACGCGUCCACGCAGUUAUUAUUACUUUUAUGUAAGAGGCGGGGAGGGGGGAGGGCGGAUGGACGAGGGCGCUUUUAUCACGCUUUCGUCACGCUGAACGAUAGAACGAUUGUCCAGGAUCCGACUGACUCACUGGCGCUUCGAUUUCCACGUGGUUCUUUCUUCCACAAAUACUUUCCUUCGUUUUUUCUGAGAUCAUGACGAAUAUUUUCUCGAUAUUCUGGCACGAGGAGAUGAUUGAUAUCUGUUACAAGUUGUUAAGAAACUUGGUCUUUUGUGAUGAUACAACUGGACUCCCUUAAUGUAAUCCCAGAUUUGCGAAGUACGAGCUUACGAAACGAGCACAUGACUCGAUCUGGCGAUUGCAGAUAACACAUGCUUUAUAUCAAUUUAUAUCAAUACCUCGCGACCUUUCAUCAAACUAUCUUCACGUAGAUUAUUUUCAUAUAAAAUGGAUCUCAUCACUCUUGCGAUUUAAGUAAUCCCGUUUCCUAAUCUCCAAGUGUACACGAUUUCAUUUCAAUACAAAGAUCUCUCGUCGAGAAGAGAGAAGAGGAAGAAAAGUAAACGAAGAGUAGACUCGACAAACGUGCCUACAAUUUCAUCCCUAUUAAUUCUAAAUUUCCUAAUCAUUUUCAGAAAAUAUAGAUCCACUAUCCAGUAUAUUCUAUCAAUAUAAAUUUUCGAAUUAAUAUUAAAAAUAACCACUAAUCAAAUCUAUUUCCGACGAAUUAUUUAUUACUUUAUUCCACAAUAAUUAUAUAUACACGAUUUGUUUUUUUUUUUGUUUUAUUACACGAAAUAUGCACUGUUGAUCGAUUCUUCCUCGAACGCUCUUACAAUCCCAACUGCACAACCAGAUGAAAUGAUUCGUUUAACCAGACGAACACCAGUUUUCGGCCAAUCGCAUGAGGAGGCAAUGAGGAGCGACCCGAUUUCCAGGAAUCCCUGUUCCGUUUCUUCUAAGCGCGCCUGUGUUUCCUGGUACAUCCCGCCAUUGAUAAUCUAAAUAUAAACGCCACCAAGUCGGCCGCGUAGGAAAGCGUGCCGCUCCCCGGUUGACCUCAUCCGCGGGUUCCAUGGGGUUAUCGGCUUGUAACUCGCUUCCCUUAUCGGUUAUCAUUGCCCCGUCGGCGCCGUGACCGCCGAAAAAAUGUACCCGUCGGUCUCACCGGCCGAUUCAAACAUGGAGGACACGGGUUUCUGAAGAAUCUACAAUGUGCUCUUUUUUUUUUUUUUUUUUUUUUUUUCUCUAAGUAUCUUACGGUACCUUAAAUUAGAUAAAAUUCUCUCAGUCUUGAUUGUCCUCAUUGAAAAUAGGGAGAGUCUUUUUUUUUUUUUCUUUUUUUUUUGGAGGGAUGAGAUAACGGAAAGUUUUAUGGUGGAUUCAGGGUGAAGAUUGGAAGAGAUUGGAAGAGGUCAAUUUUUUUAGUUGUUUUGAACAUUUGAAGAUUGAUUGAGGGUAAAUGGGGAUGGGGUUCAAGGGUUUCUAAGGGUUUCAGAUUACACGCCUAAUUAUUUGUGAGAUGUAUUGAUUAUCGAUGUGAUUAGAGAUUUGGAUAUAUUUGUUGGAAAGUUAAUGCGUGCAAAUAUGGGAUAUAAAAAUAUUGUUAUUUGAUGAAACGUAUCUAUAUUUAAUUAAAAUUUCAUUUUUUGUAAAGUUUUAAUUCUAAAUUGGAUAAUUUGAUACAAAUAUGGAACGAAGUACAAAGUUUUUGUUAAUUGAUUAUAAUGAUGAACAAAAAAAUUGUGCAGAAGUAAAACCAAAAUAAAAGAAAGAUAUACAAAUUAUCCAAACAUUGUAAAAUAAAAAUAUUUUGUACAUAUUUUCUACGUAUAUCUGUAUGUAAAAAAAUUGAAGAUUGAUAAAAGAUAUAUUUAAAAAAAAAAAGAUUAUUUCUCGAUACACUGAUUAUACUCGAGUACAAGUUUAUUUUUAUGAUUGGCCAACUCAGAUCGAUAUUUUUAGUAAAAUGUACGACCAAAAGAGGAUCCCGUUAUCUCGCUUAUCUUUGGGACCUAAAGGGAUCCAAUUAUGCGGUCAUAAUUUUCGGAAUCAAAUUCCAUGGGCCCCCCCUUAUGACUUCAUAGAAUCGUAGUAUAUUUCUUGUUUUUCCAAGGAAUCUCAUAAAAAUCUAAAAAUACUCUAAAAUGAUCUUUAAAUGAAUAUCUCGGGAAUAAGGUAUUACAGCCUUAUUUUCCCUCUGUGCAACGAAGCUAUAAAUCAAAUAACGUGGUAUACCACUUUCCAAUUAUAGAUCAUGAAAUUUAUUUCUUAUGAUAAUGCUCUCCUAAAAUACUUUACUGGCGCCUUUUGAUCUAAUUUUAUUUAUCUAAGGAGGAAAAUAAAAAAAGAAACACACGGAAUCUGUUGUUCGAACGGGAAAAAAUGCAAAAGUAGAUAAGAUUGGUAAUUGGAAAAAUUGAAAAAGAAUUUCUAAUCUCGUUUAUGAUAAAUUUAACCAACAAGAUUUAUUCGAAUUUUCGAACGUCCUACGAUUCUAUCCUUAUCCCAAUUUAUCAAUUAUAAUGCUACUCCAUUUUUUCAAAUGAUAUAAAAAAAAUUGUACAACAGAUAUAAUAUAAUUUUCGUCAUACAAAUUAAUAAUUUUAAUUACGAUAUCGUUAUCGAAUAUCAAUUUAUGAAUUUAUCGUUGAAAGAUGGAUCGUGCUUAUUGAAAUGAAAAAAAAAAAAAAGAAAUCUUACUAAUUAAGUGAAUCGACGUAUACAUCUUUUGCAUAUAAUCAAUUUGCAAAUCGUUCAACUGUCAAAGACUUGGAAUGAAUCAUUUGAAAUGAAACAUUACUCAAUUUUUAGAUCAAUAAGAGACAUAUGUGCAAAAGAUUUUAAGGACUCGCGGAUUCAUAAUAGUUUUUCCGCGAAAGAAUCGAAAAUAUACUGAGGGGUGACGUGACGGCGUUAAAAACGACUAUAAAGCCGAUUUACAAGCUCGUAACUUAGAAUAUUAAAACGAUUAUAAAAUUAAAA